rnacentral:rRNA from 1 species
AACGAACGGUCCCUUUGCCCGGGACUGGGGGAUCAAGUGCGGUGANCGCCGCAGGCACAAGAGCGAGCUGNACCCCGCAGGGGCCGCGGGAAUCUUNAGCGAACGACACACCGAACGACGAGACAACGAAGACACGCACACACGAAGACGCGCGAANGCAGAGAGAAGACAGGAGAGAGACGUCAGACGCACGACGACGACUAGCAGCAGAAGCGACGAGACACANACACGCGACAAACACGAACACAGAGACGACAGCACACGCACCAGACGCCAGGAAGCAAGCAGACCAAGCGGAAGAGAACAAGCGCAGACGAGACACAGCCGCCACACGAGACGAAACAGCAGACAAAGCCAGNACAAGACAGCCGAGAGACACGAAACAAGACAACACCGAGA